UACAGAGGGUGCAAGCGUUGUUCGGAAUUAUUGGGCGUAAAGCGCGUGUAGGCGGCUUUGCAAGUCGGGGUGUGAAAGCCCUCAGCUUAACUGAGGAAGUGCGCCCGAAACUGCAGAGCUUGGGUACCGGAGAGGGUGGCGGAAUUCCCCAAGUAGAGGUGAAAUUCGUAGAUAUGGGGGAGGAACACCAGUGGCGAAGGCGACUUCCUGGCCUGUUCUUGACGCUGAGGCGCGAAAGCUAGGGGAGCAAACGGG
rnacentral:rRNA from 1 species